rnacentral:rRNA from 1 species
GGUCCUAUGGAUUGUAAACUGCUUUUAUACGAGAAGAAACACUCCUUCGUGAAGGAGCUUGACGGUAUCGUAAGAAUAAGGAUCGGCUAACUCCGUGCCAGCAGCCGCGGUAAUACGGAGGAUCCAAGCGUUAUCCGGAAUCAUUGGGUUUAAAGGGUCCGUAGGCGGUUUAAUAAGUCAGUGGUGAAAGCCCAUCGCUCAACGGUGGAACGGCCAUUGAUACUGUUAAACUUGAAUUAUUAGGAAGUAACUAGAAUAUGUAGUGUAGCGGUGAAAUGCUUAGAGAUUACAUGGAAUACCAAUUGCGAAGGCAGGUUACUACUAAUUGAUUGACGCUGAUGGACGAAAGCGUGGGUAGCGAACAGGAUUAGAUACCCUGGUAGUCCACGCCGUAAACGAUGGAUACUAGCUGUUGGGAGCAAUUUCAGUGGCUAAGCGAAAGUGAUA